GAUAGUGAGGGCACGCGUGUGUGAUUCGCUCCAAGUAUGGGGCUGGCUUUUCCAAAGUGGAGUGGAAUUUAAUAGUGCGAAAGUGUUUGUCGAGAUAACAGUGGUUUCUUGUGGCAAUAAUGCCGGAGUCUGAAAAGUCGUUAGACCUUAAGCUUCACAGUCCAGCUGGUGUGGAGCCGAUAAUAUUUCACUGGCCGCUGACAUCGGGUUCAGGAGCGGAUAAACAUGAUGGCGCUUACGAGAUCGUCGAGACCAUACGGUAAGGACGGGGCUCGGGACACAGGUAGCGACGAUACCACAUCAGUACCUUUUGUGAGUACCUGGGGCAAGGUGGGCAUACCUGCAUAUUCCUGACUGCCCUCUGCGGUGGCUUAUAACGCAGGCGCACGUAUGUCAGGCGAUGCGCUGG